AUGGCAAUGGAACUUCUGAGGACUCUCCUCGCGGGUCUUCUCCUCCUCCACCUCGCCGGAUCCAGUCCUCCGCCGGCUCCGGUGGUCUGCGCCCGCGGGACGUCCGACUGCACGGUCACCAACGCGUACGGCUCCUUCCUGGACCGUGCCACCUGCCGCGCGGCGAACGUCGUCUACCCGCGCACCGAAGCGGAGCUGGUCGCGGCCGUGGCGGCCGCGGCGGCGGCGAAGCGCAAGCUUAAGGUGGCCACCAGGUACUCCCACAGCUUUCCCAAGCUCGCGUGUCCCGGCGGCCGCGACGGCACCAUCAUCAGCACCCUGCGGCUCAACGGCACGGUGAGCCUAGACGUGGCUGCGCGGCUCAUCACCGUGGAGAGCGGCGUGGUCCUCCAGGACCUGCUCCGGGCCGCGGCCGCCGCGGGGCUCGCGCUGCCGCACUCGCCCUACUGGUCCGGCGUCACGGUCGGGGGGCUGCUCGCCACGGGCGCGCACGGGAGCUCGCUGUGGGGCAAGGGGGGCGCCGUCCACGAGCACGUCGUCGGGCUGAGGAUCGUGACGCCGGCGCCGGCGAGCCGGGGGUUCGCGGUGGUGAGGGAGCUUGGCGACGGGCACCCGGACCUGGCCGCCGCCAAGGUCUCCCUCGGCGUCCUCGGCGUCGUCUCCCAGGUCACUCUGGCGUUGCAGCCGUUGUUCAAACGGUCGGUGACAUUCGUGGAGCGCGACGACGCGGACCUGGAGGACCAGGUGGCGGAGUGGGGGCACCUCCACGAGUUCGGCGACGUGGCGUGGCAGCCGGGGCGGGGAAAGGUCGUGUACCGCCAGGACGACCGCGUGGACGUGUCGUCGCCGGGCGACGGCGUGAACGACCACCUCGUCCUCCGGCCGACACCGGCGCUUGGGCGCGUCGAGGCCAUGCGUGCAGAGGAGCUGCUGGAGGAGAACGGCACCGACAUUGCCAGGUGCGAGGCGGCGGAGGCUGGCCAGCUGCAGCCGCAGCCGCAGCCACCACACGGCUUCACCAACGACGGCGAGGUCUUCACGGGGUACCCCGUGGUGGGGUACCAGCACCGCAUGCAGGCGACCGGCUCAUGCAUCGACAGCCCGGAAGACGGGCUCCUCACCUCCUGCAAGUGGGAUCCUCGCCUGGGGGCCACCUUCAUCUACAACACGGCCAUCAGCGUCCCGCUCCACAAGGCCGCGGCGUUCGUCGCCGACGUGAAGCGCCUCCGGGACCUCAACCCGCGCGCGUUCUGCAGCCUGGACGCCAGGGGCGGCCUGCUCGCGCGCUACAUCAGGGCGUCGUCCGCCCACCUCGGCAAGCCGGAGGACGCGGUUGACUUCGACCUCGCCUACUACCGGAGCUACACCGCCGGCGCGCCCCGCGCGCACGCGGACGUCAUAGACGAGCUCGAGCAGAUGGCGCUGCGCAAGUACGGCGGCCUACCGCACUGGGGCAAGAACCGCAACUUCGCCUUCGACAGCGCCGUCGGCAGGUACCCGAAGGCCGGCGAGUUCCUGGAGGUGAAGGGCAGGUACGACCCCGACGGGCUCUUCUCCAGCGAGUGGAGCGACCAGGUCCUCGGCAUCAACGGGACGAGCCCGAGCGUCGACAAGGAAGGCUGCGCCAUGGAAGGGCUGUGCGUCUGCUCCGACGACUCGCACUGCGCGCCGGAGAGGGGCUACCUCUGCCGGCCGGGGAAGGUGUACAGAGAGGCCAGGGUUUGCUCGUCCUCGUUCCCGCCAGCCGCCGGCGCGCUCCGGGAUGAGCUCUGA
rnacentral:rRNA from 1 species